AGGGGUGGUCUGCAAGUGCAGGGUGGAGGUUGGACUGGAGGUCAGGCAGUGCAGACUGGAUGUCAGGCAGUGGAGGCUGGAGGUCAGGCUGUGCAGACUGGAGGUCAGGCUGUGUUGAGCAUAGGUCAGGCUGUGCAGACUGGAGGUCAGGCUGUGUGGAGCGGAGGUCAGGCUGUGUAGAGCA